rnacentral:rRNA from 1 species
UACGUAGGGUGCAAGCGUUAAUCGGAAUUACUGGGCGUAAAGCGUGCGCAGGCGGUUUUGUAAGUCUGAUGUGAAAUCCCCGGGCUCAACCUGAGAAUUGCAUUGGAGACUGCAAGGCUAGAAUCUGGCAGAGGGGGGUAGAAUUCCACGUGUAGCAGUGAAAUGCGUAGAGAUGUGGAGGAACACCGAUGGCGAAGGCAGCCCCCUGGGUCAAGAUUGACGCUCAUGCACGAAAGCGUGGGGAGCAAACAGG